AUUGAACGCUGGCGGCAGGCCUAACACAUGCAAGUCGAGCGGCAGCGGGAAAGUAGCUUGCUACUUUUGCCGGCGAGCGGCGGACGGGUGAGUAAUGCCUGGGAAAUUGCCCAGUCGAGGGGGAUAACAGUUGGAAACGACUGCUAAUACCGCAUACGCCCUACGGGGGAAAGCAGGGGACCUUCGGGCCUUGCGCGAUUGGAUAUGCCCAGGUGGGAUUAGCUAGUUGGUGAGGUAAUGGCUCACCAAGGCGACGAUCCCUAGCUGGUCUGGGAGGAUGAUCAGCCACCCUGGAACUGAGACACGGUCCAGACUCCUACGGGAGGCAGCAGUGGGGAAUAUUGCACAAUGGGGGAAACCCUGAUGUAGCCAGGCCGCGUGUGUGAAGAAGGCCUUCGGGUUGUAAAGCACUUUCAGCGAGGAGGAAAGGUUGGUAGCUAAUAACUGCCAGCUGUGACGUUACUCGCAGAAGAAGCGACGGCUAAAUACGUGCCAGCAGCCGCCGUAAAAC
rnacentral:rRNA from 1 species